rnacentral:SRP_RNA from 1 species
GCAGGGCAUGGAGGCUUACACUUGUAAUCCCAGCUGCUGGAAAGGCUGAAACUUGUAGAUUUCUUGAGUUUAGGAAUUCUGAACUGCAGUGGGCUGUGCCGAUCAGGCGUCCAUAAUAAGUUUGGCAUUGAUGUGGUAAGCCUUUGGCAACAGGGAGUAGUCAGCCCAGGUUGGAAACAGAAGAUGUCAAAGCUCCUGUACUGAUCAGUAGUGGGAUUAGCUCUGUGAAUAGCUCCUGAAUUUCAGGUCUAGAUGGGUAGAACCAGUCUCUA